AAAGAAUCAAAGAAUCACAGAAUUGUAGGGGUUGGAAAAGACCUCAAAAGAUCAUCGGGCCCAACCCCCCUGCCAAAGCAAGUUUCUUACAUCUGUCAUGUUUGAACUAUUUUUGUUAAUGAGAAGGUUAUUCAGUACCUUGUCAAAGCAUACAUAAAUCUGCUCAGUGGCAGUACUUAUAAUUCAUUUGAAGUGGAUACAAUUGAUAUUCAUUUAUUGUAGAUAAAAUUUGAAGAUGCCCAUUUCUCUUCACCUUUCCAGUUUAUUUUCCCUUGCACAGCAUAAAUAGUUCGUAGUGACUGUGAUUGUCCCCCAUACACACCUGUUUAAUCAUACUUUUUCUUCUUUAAUCAACCCAUUUAUAGCAAUCUUUGCUUUUAGCAAAAUAUUGAGAUGCAAUCAGGCAAAGCUGUCAGAUUGUUCUGUGUCUGAAUGCAAGAUGCUGAUUACUGUUGCCACUGUUAGCUGAAUAACACUAUUAAAGGCUUUUAUGAAGUAUUUGCAUUGCUUGUUCAUACAAAUACAAAAUCAUGGCAACACCAUGGUGAGAAAGGAAACAAUGCUCAUUUUGUGACACAUUUCUUCCAACACAAGACAGCAACAAUAAUCUGUGGAAAGUAUCUGUAUACACAGCACAUUUGACAGUGUCUUUUGGUUUGUUAAUUGCUAAAUUAUUUAAACAGCAGCUCUCUCUAUUGCAUACAGAUUGUUGAACAGCUCUCAGCAAAGAGGGCAGAGUUGGUAGGGAUGUGCAGAUCCUUGCUUCUGUGGGAUGUCCACACUGUGCUGGAGCUGUCCUGGAGGAUAGGGAAGGAAAAUGGGCCUACAAAUAUGAGCAUGGUGUGGAUUUCAAAAUUCAAAACCCAAGGGUAAAAUGCUGCCUAAAGAAAGAGGGAAUGCAGAUUAGAUGUAAUCCAUUACUCUGUGCUCAUUGCCAUUAAAAAAGCUCAGAAAAACGUUCUUUGAAGCCUGUAUAGAUCUUUUUGCACUAAAGCAGUUGGGCUUUACUAGACUUUAUUAAGCAGUCAGGAUGAGCCACAUGCUUCUAAACUUGGCAUGCAAAUUGAAAACUUGGUUUGGGGUUAAAAGAAUGAAUACAAUGAAAAAAUAGUUCUGGGAAAUAAUAGGGAUUUUUUUUAAGAAUUUUUCUUAUUCCUGACUUACUGCAUGGUACCUGUGUGGUGCAGAGGAUUGUGGUCAUCAUGUAACCUGAUAUAGUGCAUUAGUUCAAGAGCUACAGUCAAUACAAAGAAAAAGCAUGCAUCAAAGAUGGAGGGGGAGCCUUUCCGUAUUGACUCUCUUGUUUCUGAUGGCCCAAGUGUCGGAGUCGAUUCUGGAAGAAGUUUAAUAUCCUUUGCCCUCUAGGUAUUCUCUUAAAUAAAUAAAGAAA
rnacentral:lncRNA from 1 species